AUUGAACGCUGGCGGCAUGCUUUACACAUGCAAGUCGAACGGCAGCGCGGGGCAACCUGGCGGCGAGUGGCGAACGGGUGAGUAAUAUAUCGGAACGUACCCAGAAGUGGGGGAUAACGUAGCGAAAGUUACGCUAAUACCGCAUACGAUCUAAGGAUGAAAGUGGGGGACCUUCGGGCCUCAUGCUUUUGGAGCGGCCGAUAUCUGAUUAGCUGGUUGGUGAGGUAAGGCUCACCAAGGCGACGAUCAGUAGCUGGUCUGAGAGGACGACCAGCCACACUGGAACUGAGACACGGUCCAGACUCCUACGGGAGGCAGCAGUGGGGAAUUUUGGACAAUGGGCGCAAGCCUGAUCCAGCAAUGCCGCGUGAGUGAAGAAGGCCUUCGGGUUGUAAAGCUCUUUUGUCAGGGAAGAAACGGCUUGGGCUAAUAUCCUGAGCUAAUGACGGUACCUGAAGAAUAAGCACCGGCUAACUACGUGCCAGCAGCCGCAGUAA
rnacentral:rRNA from 1 species